rnacentral:rRNA from 1 species
CAGCCGCCACGGGAAUACGAGGGUGCAAGCGUUAUUCGGAUUGAUUGGGUGUAAAGGGUGUGCAGACGGCUUAUUAAGUCACUUGUUAAAUUCUUCGGCCUAACUGAAGGUCUGCAAGUGAUACUGAUGAGCUAGAGGGUGGAAGAGAGAAGUGGAAUUCUCGGAGUAGCGGUAAAAUGCGUAGAUCUCGAGAGGAACACCAAUGGCGAAGGCAGCUUCUUGGUCCAUUCCUGACGUUCAUACACGAAAGCGUGGGGAGCAAACAGGAUUAGAUACCCGCGUAGUCCCUGUCUCUUAUACA